rnacentral:rRNA from 1 species
GAUGAACGCUGGCGGCGUGCCUAAUACAUGCAAGUCGAGCGAACGGACGAGAAGCUUGCUUCUCUGAUGUUAGCGGCGGACGGGUGAGUAACACGUGGAUAACCUACCUAUAAGACUGGGAUAACUUCGGGAAACCGGAGCUAAUACCGGAUAAUAUUUUGAACCGCAUGGUUCACAAGUGAAAGACGGUCUUGCUGUCACUUAUAGAUGGAUCCGCGCUGCAUUAGCUAGUUGGUAAGGUAACGGCUUACCAAGGCAACGAUGCAUAGCCGACCUGAGAGGGUGAUCGGCCACACUGGAACGGAGACACGGUCCAGACUCCUACGGGAGGCAGCAGUAGGGAAUCUUCCGCAAUGGGCGAAAGCCUGACGGAGCAACGCCGCGUGAGUGAUGAAGGUCUUCGGAUCGUAAAACUCUGUUAUUAGGGAAGAACAUAUGUGUAAGUAACUGUGCACAUCUUGACGGUACCUAAUCAGAAAGCCACGGCUAACUACGUG